AACUCCUGACCUCAAGUGAUCCGCCCACCUCGGCCUCCCAAAGUGCUGGGAUUACAGGCAUGAGCCACCGCUCCGGGCCCUUGCACAUAUUUUUUUAUGAACACACAGGCAGCAGCACUUUGAUUACAGUAACUUACAUGGAAGUUAUUUUAAAAUGGCUUUCCCCUUCUCUUUUUCAUGUAGGCUGCAUUUUUCAUCUGCAGCACGCUUUCUCUCAAGAAUCUCAAGCACACACAAGAAACCAGAGAGUAAAAUCACUGAGGCGUGAACACAUCCAGAGACCAAGGGCGUCACUGGCAGAAAAGCUUUUAGGCGGAUCCACGGCCCGAGAGCCACCCUGCCCAGAGACGCGGUUUCCUAGGAGCAGUUCACACGCGGCUCUGCAGCACCCACAAGCGGGGCCAGGGGCUGGUUUUCAUAGUUCACAGUCUGCAGGGAUCUUAACAAAAACAUGGCCGUGGUAAAAGUGCCUAGACCAGGCUUUCGUCACAACUCAUCAUGUUACUAGGUUAGGAUAAUAAAAAGGACUGUGAACUUCACAUCUGCCAUCUAUAAUAGAUUCUUAUUGUAGCAAUCUUGCACCAAGGGGAUUUCUUUAUUAACUCUGCCAAAUUUUCCAAAAUUACCAAAUGGAGAAAAGAGCUGGUCCCAUCUGUCACCAGGCACAACCAGGAAGUGUCAGAAGACUUUCAGAAGCACAUGCAGUUGCAGCUCCAGUGUUUCAACAGUUGCCCAUUUCCAAGGCCUCCUAAAUACGUAUGAGGCCUGUGGACAACUUUCUCCUCAGCUGUUACAGAACCUGGACAACUUGUAGUGAAGACCUUCCACACCAGUAACAUAUUUUGGUGAGCCAGUCGGGAGUUGGCUAGAUUAGUUCCCCAGUCUGUCUUCUCGCCACUCUGGAUGUCCACAUGAGAGGACCCAAGGUAAUUUCUGACAGCCUCGGGCUCCUUGGGAAAACCAGAGGGUGCCACAGACCCCGUUUUAGGAGAAACCUCUGUUUUCCUCAGGGAACCCCAAGACACAUAAGCAGACAGAUCCCUCUCAAAAUCUAAGGCUCUGCUCUGUUUUGUAUCACAUUACCUGAUCUUUUUGACUUUGGGGGAAAUUACAUCAGAAAUUACUUUAGUAGGGGCUGGGCGCAGUGGCUCAUGCCUGUUAUCCCAGCACUUUGAGAGGCCGAGGCAGGCAGAUCACCUGAGGU
rnacentral:lncRNA from 1 species